ensembl:misc_RNA 7SK 7SK RNA
GGAUGUAAGUGUCAUCUAGCUGUGAUAUCGGUAAUCCCACUGAUUGCCAGAUUUGAUUCAGCUUAUCUGGUUGGCUAGAUGGUGUCCCCUUCCUCCCUCCACAUUCAUCUGCACCCCCACUCCCCACCUCGAAGCUGUGCGAUCAGUCGAAGAAAACCUUCCCCAACAGAGCAGGUCUAUUCUUCACUCAAGAGCAUGUAAAUAUAUGCAUUCCUUUUCUGUGGCACUAGGAGAAUUGCUCUACUAGAACCAAACAGGCUCUCAGGAGAUAAUGGGGUGACUGAAUAAGCAAUGGGACCCAGCCAGAGGCUGUCCUUU